rnacentral:rRNA from 1 species
AUACGUAGGGUGCAAGCGUUAAUCGGAACUACUGGGCGUAAAGCGUGCGCAGGCGGUUUUGUAAGACAGUGGUGAAAUCCACGGGCUCAACCUGGGAACUGACAUUGUGACUGCAAGGCUGGAGUGCGGCAGAGGGGGAUGGAAUUCCGCGGGUAGCAGUGAAAUGCGUAGAUAUGCGGAGGAACACCGAUGGCGAAGGCAAUCCCCUGGGCCUGCACUGACGCUCAUGCACGAAAGCGUGGGGAGCAAACAGGAUUAGAUACCCUGGUAGUCCACGCCCUAAACGAUGUCAACUGGUUGUUGGGGAUUUAUUUUCUCAGUAACGAAGCUAACGCGUGAAGUUGACCGCCUGGGGAGUACGGCCGCAAGGUUAAAACUCAAAUGAAUUGACGGGG